GCCGGAGUGGCGGAAUGGCAGACGCAUUCGACUCAAAAUCGAACGGGAAACCGUGGGGGUUCGAGUCCCUUCUCCGGCA
rnacentral:tRNA from 1 species